rnacentral:ncRNA from 2 species
GGCCAAUUUCACGCAACAGGUGCCCGGGUUCAAUCCCGGGUUAAACGGGAACAGGGUGCAAUGCCCUGGCUGCCCCCGCAACGGUAAGCAGAUCAAUCCGAAUCAGGGUUCUUGCAUGCAAGAACCAGCCACUGGCGUUUUACGUGGCCCCUCACGGGGUGUGCGGAAGCGCUGGGAAGGCGAUCGGCAGGCCUUUGGCCAUCUGUCAGCCCGGAUACCGGCCUGUUGAGCGCUGUGCAA